UGUGUGCGUGAGUGAGCCCAAAGCAGAACGGGGCAAUGGGCCGGAAAAUAUUUUCCCACCGAGAAAAUCCAUGCUCAGGUUGAUCUCUUGGAAUGGUGACCUUACUAAACCUAUAGAGGUGACAUCUAGUGGAGAAAGGGACUCACAUUAACUCAAAUAUCUCUAAUGUCAUGGUAACGAUGGAGCUGGGGAAGCAGCAUCCGUACAGAGUGAACGCAGAUGAAGCUUUGCCACCAGAUUCGAGGGAAAACACUAUCAGGAAAUCCAGGCUAAGAGAUUCGGUGACUUGUCCAAGGUGACCCAGGAAAUAAGCAAUGCUUCUGAGAUUUGAAUCUGACCAUUCUCCAAUUGAUGGGUGUUUGUAUUCAGUUUCCAGUUCCUUGCCACUACAAAAAAGGCUGCUACAAAUA
rnacentral:lncRNA from 1 species